AAAAAGAUAAGCUAACCAAGCUAGUGGGUUCAUACCCCACUUAUAAAGGCCAACCCUUUUCUUUUUA
rnacentral:tRNA from 1 species